GUCAUCAUUUUUAAUACCAAAGGUUCCAGUCCCCAGGAAGUAGUUUCCAAAAACCAACAGACCAUUAUUUACUUCCUUAAUCUCAUCCCAAAACCCAAAUGCGUUCCUUAGCCAAUCUUCAAUCUGGUUCUCUCCUUCUACACGAACCAACUUUCGUUGCGUCUUGCUCAGGCAGUUCGUCCAGAAGUUAAGUUCGUGACCCAUUUCUCAUCGCUUCCCUAUCUAGUUCGUGAGCCAUUAUGUUCGCUGAUCUUGGAAUUUGCUUAAAUAAUAUCUGAUGAAAGAAUCGUUUUUGACAUUUAAACUGCUUGGGGACACACAUGUGCCUCUACUACAAACGAAGAAGCAACUGCCCUAUGUACCACUGUUUUAGAGGCAAGAAUCUCUCCAGAAGCAUUUCUCGCAACCACCCCUGAAGCCGAUUUAGCCUGUGCCUCAUCAAAGUCCGCGUCAAAAUUCAAUUUAAUAUUAGACCCAUUCGGGGGGCACCAUUCCACAUUUACGUUUACCUUGGUCAAUUUACUAGUCUUGCACUCGUUUAUUUCCUUAACAUACCUUAUGACCCAUGCAGCAAUAUCACAACCCGUACUUCUCUUCCCCUCAUAUAACCCCUUAUUUCUGUCAGUCUAGAUCACCUACAAGGAACAGCAGAAUAAACAAUAUUGCGACCCAAUACUGCUUUUAAAUACCCAAGUAAGCCAUUCCCAGCAAUCCAUAUUUAUUCCUGCCAAUACGCAAUCAAGAUUUAAGCUUACCCAGACUUCUCGUGUAACAGUACAGUAUCGCAAAAGGUGAUCAACAUUCUCAACAGCCCCUCCACAUCUUGGGCGCGCUAUCUUCGUCACCAUUCUUUUUGUGAACAAAUUAGCUAGAGUAGGAAUAAAAUUAUAGGAAAUUUUCCAAAUGUAAAUCUUAAAUUUGGCUGAAAUAUGAAUGUUCCAAAGUUUUUUGUAAAAA